rnacentral:rRNA from 1 species
CAGUAGCCGCGGUAAUACGUAGGUGGCAAGCGUUGUCCGGAAUUAUUGGGCGUAAAGGGCUCGCAGGCGGUUUCUUAAGUCUGAUGUGAAAGCCCCCGGCUCAACCGGGGAGGGUCAUUGGAAACUGGGAAACUUGAGUGCAGAAGAGGAGAGUGGAAUUCCACGUGUAGCGGUGGAAUGCGUAGAGAUGUGGAGGAACACCAGUGGCGAAGGCGACUCUCUGGUCUGUAACUGACGCUGAGGAGCGAAAGCGUGGGGAGCGAACAGGAUUAGAUACCCCCGUAGUCCCUGUCUCUUAUAC